rnacentral:rRNA from 1 species
UCUUAGUGGCGGACGGGUGAGUAACGCGUGGGGAACCUGCCCUGUACAGGGGGAUAACACUUAGAAAUAGGUGCUAAUACCGCAUAAGCGCACAGGAACGCAUGUUCCGGUGUGAAAAACUCCGGUGGUAUAAGAUGGGCCCGCGUCUGAUUAGGUAGUUGGUGGGGCAGCGGCCUACCAAGCCGACGAUCAGUAGCCGACCUGAGAGGGUGACCGGCCACAUUGGGACUGAGACACGGCCCAAACUCCUACGGAAGGCAGCAG